rnacentral:rRNA from 1 species
AGUGAACGCUGGCGGUAGGCCUAACACAUGCAAGUCGAACGGCAGCACAGUAAGAGCUUGCUCUUACGGGUGGCGAGUGGCGGACGGGUGAGGAAUACAUCGGACUCUACUUUUUCGUGGGGGAUAACGUAGGGAAACUUACGCUAAUACCGCAUACGACCUACGGGUGAAAGCAGGGGAUCUUCGCACCUUGCGCGAUUGAAUGAGCGGAUGUCGGAUUAGCUAGUUGGCGGGGUAAAGGCCCACCAAGGCGACGAUCCGUAGCUGGUCUGAGAGGAUGAUCGGCCACACUGGAACUGAGACACGGUCCAGACUCCUACGGGAGGCAGCAGUGGGGAAUGUUGGACAAUGGGCGCAAGCCUGAUCCAGCCAUACCGCGUGGGUGAAGAAGGCCUUCGGGUUGUAAAGCCCUUUUGUUGGGAAAGAAAAGCAGCAGGUUAAUACCCCGCUGUUCUGACGGUACCCAAAGAAUAAGCACCGGCUAACUUCGUG